GGUUCCUUAGCUCAGUUGGUAGAGCAACUGACUCUUAAUCAGUGGGUCGAGGGUUCGAGUCCCUCAGGAACCA
rnacentral:tRNA from 1 species